CGCACUGCAUCGCAUCCUCGGAAUUGUGGGCACAGCGGAAUAUGCCAACAAUCCCCUCUUCUCUCCAUUUUCUCACAUGGGUUCGGGGAAAUUUCGACGUCAUGUGCACGGCGCGGGGAGAUUUACAACUCACUCUGAGUCCCUGUUGUUCAGGGUACCGGCUCCGUGUCGAUUCUCGUCACCUCGCUCAUGCAUUUGUGUGAGAGUGGCUACAGUCAAGCGAAUCUGUGGUGUUUUGCACAUGGGUCGGUUCAAUGGCAGGGGAAUAUGCUGAAGGCUCGUCCUUCUGAUCGACCGGCAUUGCCUUCCUUGUCCAAUUACGUCUCCGUAUUCCUCUUCCACGAACAUAUUCGGAGCGAUUAGCAACUGCUGACGAAAGGUCACAGAAAACGAGACUUCCCGGUUUUCGAAGCGCGCUUGAUGAGACGCACAAGCAUUGUAACAUGGGUGAUAAAGAUGGCGGAAUCCAGAUCCCGUUUAGGUCUUGAUUUCAGCAGAAUGGUUGAGGAGAACCCGUGUGCGAAGAUGGAGGUGAUGAGGCAGAUUAGAUAGAACUGAUAGGUCGUCGUUAGUACUCGGGAGUUAUAUUCAGUUCCACGAAGAGGCCCUCUGCCGAGUGGUUAUGGGCUUUCCGAUUCAGUACAUUCAUACGCAUUCGUUGUGGUGGUUUUCUAAGCUCAAGGAAUAAUACGGCACAGCAAAUCCAACAACAAAUUGUGGUAAAGCGGAUACUGGGUGAUAUCUAUCUUCUCCAGUGGCAUGCCACAGUUUGUCCGUGCGAUUUUAUACGAACAUUUGCUACAGUGCGUUACGUUGGGGAGUAUUAAUUCUGAACUGGGUUCAGCCAUUGACCACAGAGGAGGCCAAGACUAUAUUGCUCCAAUGUGCAUGGGUUCGAUUAUACUCCGGAACCGUGAGAGGUCUGUGAGAAGGUUCAUAAUUUUCAUCUCAAGUGAGGAAACAACAAUCAUGAAGGCGAAGAUGAAGAUCCUUUCGGGCGGCAGGAAGCAAGCACUCCUCGUAGCAGAAACAUUCCACAUCACACCACCUCUUCGUCAAGUAUAAAACCUGUUGGAUUAUUCUCGUGUGACUGUGGAGCAUUCUGCAGUCAUCGUCUUCCGAAUUCUGCUUCUGGGGAUACUUAAACCUCUUGCAGAUUGUACCCUCCAAUUGCCUGAGGUUGCCAGCACCCAAGCUCACCAUAUUAACUAGUCAGAUGAUCUCUAUCCCAGAGAAGGGGGUUGAAGCAGCAGCAGCAGCAGCACCAACUUUACUCUGCAAUCGGAGUUGCGAAAUGUUUGUUAGUGCGUUAGAGCUAAAUCAAAAGGCUUGUGCGCUUGACGUCUAAGAGAAUAAAAAGAUAGUGCGAUCUUGCUGGAUGGCAUGAAAACGAGUAACUACGAAGCCAUGAGUGAUCGUCAGUGAAUUCGGUCCAAAAUGAAAAGCUCCAGUAAUCGUGCGAUGAACGCCGAAAUAUUGGCGAAAUCUCUGCAGCAGGAGAACGAUAUUCUUCGUUUUCAGCUCAAUGACCUAAUCAACCGGGAGCAAAAUCAAAGACUUGAGCUCCAAAGACUGCGAGCGCAUCGAGAAGUGGAAAUGACUUCUCUGGUGAACGCAUCUACAAAUAAAUUGAAAUGCGAGGUAGAGCGCCUAAAGGCACAGUUAGAGCCUGCAUCUGCAAGU